UCAAUUUUGCCCCUCAUGGCAUGCCCUUCCCCGUUUAAUGUCUCUCUCCCCCUUUAACGAUCCUCCAUCUUUUCUCUGCUAUUGCUUUUAUUUCCAAUUCAAUUUCACUUCCUUUGCAAUCUCUCUCUCUCUCUCCAGCCAAUCUCUCUUUCAUUUUCAAUUCGAAUUCCACCGGUUCACAAAUCAAUUGAAUCAUCGAAUCUGAUAAGCCCGGGCAAGCAGCUCAGUAUCGAGCCUCUGGAGCUCAGUUUUUCCUGUCAAAUAAUGAAGGUGAAGACUCCGGCAACCGGAAGCUGGAGCUGCUAGGCUUGGAGGGCAAAUGACAAACGAGGAGGUCAAGAGCUUGAACAGACGGUCAGAGCUGUUUCUUCAUGCUUUUGCUUUUCAAUUUGUUAGGUGCUUCAUUUGGAACCUCCUUUUUAAUACGAGGGAUGAGUUUUUAUUA